AUUGAACGCUGGCGGCAUGCUUUACACAUGCAAGUCGAACGGUAACAGGGUGCUUGCACCGCUGACGAGUGGCGAACGGGUGAGUAAUGCGUCGGAACGUGCCGAGUAGUGGGGGAUAACGCAGCGAAAGUUGUGCUAAUACCGCAUACGUACUGAGGUAGAAAGUGGGGGACCUUCGGGCCUCACGCUAUUCGAGCGGCCGACGUCUGAUUAGCUAGUAGGUGAGGUAAAGGCUCACCUAGGCGACGAUCAGUAGCGGGUCUGAGAGGAUGAUCCGCCACACUGGGACUGAGAAACGGCCCAGACUCCUACGGGAGGCAGCAGUGGGGAAUUUUGGACAAUGGGCGAAAGCCUGAUCCAGCCAUGCCGCGUUUCUGAAGAAGGCCUUCGGGUUGUAAAGGACUUUUGUCAGGGAGGAAAUCCCUAGUGCUAAUAACACUGGGGGAUGACAGUACCUGAAGAAUAAGCACCGGCUAACUACGUGCCAGCCGCCGCGGUAA
rnacentral:rRNA from 1 species